UACCUAUGGGGGGCAGCAGUGAGGAAUAUUGGUCAAUGGGAGAGAUCCUGAACCAGCCAAGCCGCGUGAGGGAUGAAGGUUUUCGGAUCGUAAACCUCUGUCAGGAGGGAAGAAAGCGCAUGGCGCCAAUCAGCCAUGCGUUGACGGUACCUCCAAAGGAAGCGCCGGCUAACUCCGUGCCAGCAGCCGCGGUAAUACGGAGGGCGCGAGCGUUAAUCGGAAUUACUGGGCGUAAAGCGCGCGUAGGCUGUUGUGUAAGUUGGGGGUGAAAUCCCACGGCUCAACCGUGGAACAGCCCUUGAUAC
rnacentral:rRNA from 1 species